UACAGGGGGUGCAAGCGUUGUUCGGAAUUACUGGGCGUAAAGCGCGGGCAGGUGGCCCGCUAAGUCUGCGGUGAAAUCCCGGAGCUCAACUCCGGAUAUGCCGCGGAUACUGGCGGGCUAGAGACCAGUAGAGGCGAGUGGAAUUCCAGGUGUAGCGGUGGAAUGCGUAGAUAUCGGGAGGAACACCUGUGGCGAAAGCGGCGCACUGGACCACAACUGACGCUGAGGCGCGAAAGCUAGGGGAGCAAACAGG
rnacentral:rRNA from 1 species